GAUGUAGGACAGACAAUCGCGGGACAGGAGAAAUCCUGUAAUGAGGAAAGUCCGGGCUCCGGGGCAAAGGAUGCCGGGUAACUCCCGGUGAAGGUAACUUUAAGGAAAGUGCAACAGAAACAUACCGCCCGUCGGAAAAUAAAUAUUGUCCUAUGGGUAAGGGCGAAAUGGUGAGGUAAGAGCUCACCGGCUUCGGGGUAAUCCGAAGGCCGUGUAAACCCCAUCCGGAGCAACGUCUGUAAUGGCAGAGAGGAUUAAAGAUGGCCCGUCUCCUUUCUGGCAGGCGGCUUUAGCCAUAUAGAGAUAUAUGGCAUAGAUAGAUGAUUGUCUGAUACAGAACCCGGCUUACAGUCCUGCUUCAAAA
rnacentral:RNase_P_RNA from 1 species